ensembl:lncRNA novel transcript
GGGAUCCACCAUCCUCUGUGAGGGGAAUUGAAACCUGCCCUCAUCUGUGAGGGAAACUCUGAGGACCUGCCCUCCUCUAUCAGGGGAGCCCUGAGGACCCACGCUUUUGUCUAAGGGGAACCCCAAAGACUCGACCUCUUCUGUGAAGAAAGGAUCCACCAUUUUCAGUGAGGGGAACCCUGGAGACCAGCCCUCUUCUGUGAGGAAGGACCUGGGGACCCACCCUUUACUGGGAAAAGAACCCUGAGGACCCACCUGCCUCUGUCAGGGGAGCCCUGGGGACCUGCUCUACGUUAAAUGAAUAGCUGCAAACAGAGCUCAAGUUGUCAUCCCUGUGGGAGUGGGAUUAUGUCUCCUGGAACUCUAUGGAGGUCAAACAUAUGGUCUCCCAGAAAACCAACACCAACUCCAAGCUUAGUCCACACGCUCCAGGUAGGCUCUGGGGCCCUCUGGUUCAAGGCGCCUGGAGCAAUCAGCCCUUCAGAUACCCCUGGAGAUGGUGAUUACUUCAUGGCACAUCUUGUAACCCAAGCCGGUCCCAUGAGAAUGUCCCCAGGAUGAGCACAGGUGCUACUGAGAGCAAUGACUUUUUCCCAGUGGACUGGAUGCUGGGGGGAUGGGGAGAUGGUGCCUUUUUAAAUCCUUUAUCCAAAAGCUGAAGCCCGAGACCUAGGCUGGGAAGCCGGGUCAAGAGAUAGACAUGAAGCUCCAGUGACUUUUUUUUCUGAGUCCCUGGAUCAAACCACACCUGAAAGUCACAUAUGUGUUUGGUUUUCUAGUUUUAUGAAGCAGUAAAUCUGCUUUGUUCUUGACCA